ACCACAGCGGCAUAAGCAGUGGCGGAAAGACGAAGUAAUUGCGCAAUAAGUGUACCAACUGGAAAACUCGAACCCGACCGCACCAUCCAAGCUACAAUCAAAAGUGGCAGAGUGGGAAUAACUCACGUUGUUCCAAUCAUUCGCCAGGAGUUGGGAUAAGCGACCGGAUCGGCAAUGUCCGCAAGAUCUACGCCGGGCAGUCAGAUGGGGAGCGAACCCAAACGAGCCGGGAAAGAGUGUGCAUCCUGUGGACAACGAGUUCGGGGGAGAGAAAGGAUAUGCUCAUGUGGGCAUGAUUUGGAGGCACAACGGCAGGCUCUUCGUGUAGCUCGUCAAAAAGAGCAGCGGAGGAAAGGCAAGAAGCUCCGCGAUGACAAUCAGGACAAAGUGUUCGAGGCUAUUAAGAGGAAGGUGCACAUCCUACAAGGAAGUGGUCACCACAUUGCACUUCUUGGCGUGCGUCUUCAC